rnacentral:rRNA from 1 species
CGGGUGGUAAUGCCGGAUGUUCCACAUGAUCGCAUGUGAUUGUGGGAAAGAUUCUAUCGGCGUGGGAUGGGGUCGCGUCCUAUCAGCUUGUUGGUGAGGUAACGGCUCACCAAGGCUUCGACGGGUAGCCGGCCUGAGAGGGCGACCGGCCACAUUGGGACUGAGAUACGGCCCAGACUCCUACGGGAGGCAGCAGUGGGGAAUAUUGCACAAUGGGCGCAAGCCUGAUGCAGCGACGCCGCGUGAGGGAUGGAGGCCUUCGGGUUGUAAACCUCUUUUGUUUGGGAGCAAGCCUUCGGGUGAGUGUACCUUUCGAAUAAGCGCCGGCUAACUACGUGCCAGCAGCCGCGGUAAUACGUAGGGCGCAAGCGUUAUCCGGAUUUAUUGGGCGUAAAGGGCUCGUAGGCGGCUCGUCGCGUCCGGUGUGAAAGUCCAUCGCUUAACGGUGGAUCUGCGCCGGGUACGGGCGGGCUGGAGUGCGGUAGGGGAGACUGGAAUUCCCGGUGUAACGGUGGAAUGUGUAGAUAUCGGAAAA